AGAAUCAACGCUGGCGGCGUGCCUAACACAUGCAAGUCGCACGAGAAAGGGACUUCGGUCCUGAGUAAAGUGGCGCACGGGUGAGUAACACGUGAAUCAUCUACCUCCGAGUGGGGAAUAACCUAGAGAAAUCUGGGCUAAUACCGCAUAACACUUACGAGUCAAAGCAGCAAUGCGCUUGGAGAGGAGUUCGCGGCAGAUUAGUUAGUUGGCGGGGUAAUGGCCCACCAAGACGAUGAUCUGUAUCCGGCCUGAGAGGGCGCACGGACACACUGGAACUGAAACACGGUCCAGACUCCUACGGGAGGCAGCAGUGGGGAAUUUUGCGCAAUGGGGAAACCCUGACGCAGCAACGCCGCGUGGAGGAUGAAAUAUCUUGGUAUGUAAACUCCUUUCGAUGGGGAAGAUAAUGACGGUACCCAUAGAAGAAGCCCGGCUAACUUCGUGCCAGCAGCCGC
rnacentral:rRNA from 1 species